GCCGGGUGCGGUGGCAUGUGCCUGUAAUCCAAGUCCACUGGGAGGCUGAGGUUGAGUGGAUCAAGUGAGCUGAGGAGCUCUGUGCUGCAGCACACUAUGUGGAACGGUGUCCACGCUAAGUUCGGUAUCGAUAUGGUGUUUCCUGGGGGCCCGGACCACCAGGUUGUCUAAGGAGUGGGUGAACUCGGCCCAGGUCGGAAACGAGCAGGUCAAUCCCCGUGCUGUCCAGUAGUGGGAUAUACUGUGAGUAGAUUGCUGCAGUGACAGCCUUGGCGAAACAUCGAAGACCUAUCUUUC
rnacentral:SRP_RNA from 1 species